AGUGAACGCUGGCGGUAUGCCUAACACAUGCAAGUCGAACGGCAACACAGUAAGAUCUUGCCCCUACCGUUGGCGAGUGGCGGACGGGUGAGGCGUACAUCGCAAUCUACUUUUUCGUGGGGGAUAACGUAGGGAAACUUACGCUAAUACCGCAUACGACCUACCGCUUAAAGCAAUGGAUCUUCGGACCUUUCGCGAUUGUAUGAGCCGAUUUCGGAUUAGCUAGUUGGCUAGGUAAAGGCUCACCAAGGCAACGAUGCGUAGCUGAGCUGAGAGGAUGAUCAGCCACACUGGAACUGAGACACGGUCCAGACUCCUACGGGAGGCAGCAGUAGGGAAUCUUGGGCAAUGGGCGAAAGCCUGACCGAGCCAUGCCGCGUGGGUGAUGAAGGCCUUCGGGUUGUAAAACUCUGUUAUUGGGGAAGAAAAAAAGCGGAAGAAUCCCCGGAUGUUCUGACGGUACCCAAAGAGUAAGCACCGGCUAACUUCGUG
rnacentral:rRNA from 1 species